AAAUGAGGACUAAACAAGGGGUUGUAAACUUAACCAUCCUUUUUUCUUGAAUUCACUUCACUUGUUCUACUAAAAAUUUCAGACGAUGUGCGAUUUAUAUAGAGAGUCAAAAUAUAUAGUCAUAAAUAUAUAAUUACGUUCAAAAUAUAUAUGGUAUUUUUAGGGAAUUAAUUGACCUUAAUUAUUUUGUAAAUGCUAC
rnacentral:lncRNA from 1 species